AAAACUUCGAAUUCGUUCGGCGCCGGGGGGAGGCAUAAACCCACUGCUCUGCGACGGUCGACAAAGAUAAAGUUAAAGAGUCGGCAGUUCACUUGAAGGUCGCAGAAACACUGCUGCUUCAGUAACCAUAAGAGCUUCUUGGAAUUGAUUGAGGUAAUUUUUACAAUUUGGGUUCUAGGGUUUCUGGAAUACCAUGUCAACCGGCAGGCUGAAGGACGGGGAACGUCGGCUGGUGAUUCCGAUGCCUCCCAAACCAAAACCUGAAACGCAGUUGGCCACAACUGAGUCGAACGCGCUUGUGGAAUAUACGCCGCCGGUGAAGGAGGAGGAUGAGGAUUUGGAGG
rnacentral:misc_RNA from 1 species